GACGAACGCUGGCGGCGUGCUUAACACAUGCAAGUCGAACGAAGAGCGACGGAAGCUUGCUUCUAUCAAUCUUAGUGGCGAACGGGUGAGUAACGCGUAAUCAACCUGCCCUUCAGAGGGGGACAACAGUUGGAAACGACUGCUAAUACCGCAUACGAUCUAAUCUCGGCAUCGAGGAUGGAUGAAAGGUGGCCUCUACAUGUAAGCUAUCACUGAAGGAGGGGAUUGCGUCUGAUUAGCUAGUUGGAGGGGUAACGGCCCAUCAAGGCGAUGAUCAGUAGCCGGUCUGAGAGGAUGAACGGCCACAUUGGGACUGAGACACGGCCCAGACUCCUACGGGAGGCAGCAGUGGGGAAUCUUCCGCAAUGGACGAAAGUCUGACGGAGCAACGCCGCGUGAGUGAUGACGGCCUUCGGGUUGUAAAGCUCUGUUAAUCGGGACGAAAGGCCUUCUUGCGAAUAGUGAGAAGGAUUGACGGUACCGGAAUAGAAAGCCACGGCUAACUACGUG
rnacentral:rRNA from 1 species